GCGCCGCUGGGCGCAUCCGGGCAUCCCUCGAUUGUAGGUCGGUGCUCAUGCGGUCGGCUGCAUGCGCGAAGUUCUGGUCGUCGGCGGCGCA
rnacentral:tRNA from 1 species